GUGCCAGCAGCCGCGGUAAUACGUAGGGUGCGAGCGUUAAUCGGAAUUACUGGGCGUAAAGCGUGCGCAGGCGGAUUGUUAAGCAAGACGUGAAAUCCCCGGGCUUAACCUGGGAAUGGCGUUUUGAACGGGCAGUCUAGAGUGUGUCAGAGGGGGGUGGAAUUCCACGUGUAGCAGUGAAAUGCGUAGAGAUGUGGAGGAACACCGAUGGCGAAGGCAGCCCCCUGGGAUGACACUGACGCUCAUGUACGAAAGCGUGGGUAGCAAACAGGAUUAGAUACCCUGGUAGUCCACGCCCUAAACGAUGUCAACUGGUUGUUGGGGGAGUGAAAUCCCUUAGUAACGAAGCUAACGCGUGAAGUUGACCGCCUGGGGAGUACGGUCGCAAGAUUAAAACUCAAAGGAAUUGACGGGGACCCGCACAAGCGGUGGAUGAUGUGGAUUAAUUCGAUGCAACGCGAAAAACCUUACCUACCCUUGACAUGGCAGGAACUUUCCAGAGAUGGAUUGGUGCUCGAAAGAGAACCUGCACACAGGUGCUGCGUGGCUGUCGUCAGCUCGUGUCGUGAGAUGUUGGGUUAAGUCCCGCAACGAGCGCAACCCUUAUCAUUAGUUGCUACGCAAGGGCACUCUAAUGAGACUGCCGGUGACAAACCGGAGGAAGGUGGGGAUGACGUCAAGUCCUCAUGGCCCUUAUGGGUAGGGCUUCACACGUCAUACAAUGGUCGGUACAGAGGGUUGCCAAGCCGCGAGGUGGAGCCAAUCCCAGAAAGCCGAUCGUAGUCCGGAUUGUUCUCUGCAACUCGAGAGCAUGAAGUCGGAAUCGCUAGUAAUCGCGGAUCAGCAUGUCGCGGUGAAUACGUUCCCGGGUCUUGUACACACCGCCCGUCACACCAUGGGAGUGGAAUCUGCCAGAAGUAGGUAGCCUAACCGCGAGGAGGGCGCUUACCACGGUGGGUUUCAUGACUGGGGUGAAGUCGUAACAAGGUAACC
rnacentral:rRNA from 1 species